rnacentral:pre_miRNA from 1 species
UGUUUUCUUCUUCUGCACUAUUUUAUACUUAAAAAACCGUGCGGAGAAGACAACAAG